GAUGAACGCUGGCGGCGUGCCUAAUACAUGCAAGUCGAGCGAACAGACGAGGAGCUUGCUCCUCUGACGUUAGCGGCGGACGGGUGAGUAACACGUGGAUAACCUACCUAUAAGACUGGGAUAACUUCGGGAAACCGGAGCUAAUACCGGAUAAUAUAUUGAACCGCAUGGUUCAAUAGUGAAAGACGGUUUUGCUGUCACUUAUAGAUGGAUCCGCGCCGCAUUAGCUAGUUGGUAAGGUAACGGCUUACCAAGGCAACGAUGCGUAGCCGACCUGAGAGGGUGAUCGGCCACACUGGAACUGAGACACGGUCCAGACUCCUACGGGAGGAAGCAGUAGGGAAUCUUCCGCAAUGGGCGAAAGCCUGACGGAGCAACGCCGCGUGAGUGAUGAAGGUCUUCGGAUCGUAAAGCUCUGUUAUUAGGGAAGAACAAAUGUGUAAGUAACUAUGCACGUCUUGACGGUACCUAAUCAGAAAGCCACGGCUAACUACGUG
rnacentral:rRNA from 1 species